rnacentral:lncRNA from 1 species
AAACUUUCUAUAAUUAUACUAUGGCCCAAAACGUCAGAAAACUUUGCAAAUAGGUCCAAUUUCAGAACUUCAUAAAAAUAGAUGUCUUUCUCAAACUUUCUGAAAUUAUGAUAUGGCCCCAAAGAUUUUAUUAUUUCGCACAAAGGUCAUUUUCAACAUAAUACCCAUAUUUUUUAAAGUUCUCAAAACCUUUCACUUUAGUCCAAAAUAUUCAUAAAUUAUAGUAUGGCCCAAAACAUUUCAAAUGUUUGUAAAAACGUCCAACUCUGAAAUUUAAUACUUAUUAAAAUCAAAGAUUUCAAAUCUUAGCAUUUAAGUCCAAAUUACUUAAAUCCACAAAAUACUUUACUUUAUAAAAAUAAAACCUUUUAGUUUAUGAAAAGUAUUUAAUUAAAUUAAUCUCUUGAGCUUCUCAAAUGCUAAAUCAUGCAUCAAUUAAAUCAUACCAGCUUUACAAGAAUUUAUCGCACUAAUUUGUUC